UGAGGUCACACAUUUGAACAGUGU
rnacentral:piRNA from 1 species